AGUGGCGAACGGGUGAGUAACACGUGAGUAACCUGCCCUUGACUCUGGGAUAAGCACUGGAAACGGUGUCUAAUACCGGAUACGAGCUUCAGCCGCAUGGCUAGGAGCUGGAAAGAAUUUUGGUCAAGGAUGGACUCGCGGCCUAUCAGCUAGUUGGUGAGGUAACGGCCCACCAAGGCGACGACGGGUAGCCGGCCUGAGAGGGUGACCGGCCACACUGGGACUGAGACACGGCCCAGACUCCUACGGGAGGCAGCAGUGGGGAAUAUUGCACAAUGGGCGAAAGCCUGAUGCAGCAACGCCGCGUGAGGGACGACGGCCUUCGGGUUGUAAACCUCUUUUAGUAGGGAAGAAGCGAAAGUGACGGUACCUGCAGAAAAAGCACCGGCUAACUACGUGCCAGCAGCCGCGGUAAUACGUAGGGUGCAAGCGUUGUCCGGAAUUAUUGGGCGUAAAGAGCUCGUAGGCGGUUUGUCGCGUCUGCUGUGAAAACCCGAGGCUCAACCUCGGGCCUGCAGUGGGUACGGGCAGACUAGAGUGCGGUGGGGGAGAUUGGAAUUCCUGGUGUAGCGGUGGAAUGCGCAGAUAUCAGGAGGAACACCGAUGGCGAAGGCAGAUCUCUGGGCCGUAACUGACGCUGAGGAGCGAAAGCAUGGGGAGCGAACAGGAUUAGAUACCCUGGUAGUCCAUGCCGUAAACGUUGGGAACUAGAUGUAGGGGCCAUUCCACGGUUUCUGUGUCGCAGCUAACGCAUUAAGUUCCCCGCCUGGGGAGUACGGCCGCAAGGCUAAAACUCAAAGGAAUUGACGGGGGCCCGCACAAGCGGCGGAGCAUGCGGAUUAAUUCGAUGCAACGCGAAGAACCUUACCAAGACUUGACAUAUACGAGAACGGGCCAGAAAUGGUCAACUCUUUGGACACUCGUAAACAGGUGGUGCAUGGUUGUCGUCAGCUCGUGUCGUGA
rnacentral:rRNA from 1 species